GCCAGCAUGGUGCAGUGGUUUGAGCAUUGGACUACAACUUGAGACCAGGGUUCAAAUCCCCGCUCAGCCA